UUCUCCUGGAAACGGGUGGUAAUGCCGGAUGCUCCAGUUGAUCGCAUGGUCUUCUGGGAAAGCUUUCGCGGUAUGGGAUGGGGUCGCGUCCUAUCAGCUUGACGGCGGGGUAACGGCCCACCGUGGCUUCGACGGGUAGCCGGCCUGAGAGGGCGACCGGCCACAUUGGGACUGAGAUACGGCCCAGACUCCUACGGGAGGCAGCAGUGGGGAAUAUUGCACAAUGGGCGCAAGCCUGAUGCAGCGACGCCGCGUGAGGGAUGGAGGCCUUCGGGUUGUAAACCUCUUUUAUCGGGGAGCAAGCGAGAGUGAGUUUACCCGUUGAAUAAGCACCGGCUAACUACGUGCCAGCAGCCGCGGUAAUACGUAGGGUGCAAGCGUUAUCCGGAAUUAUUGGGCGUAAAGGGCUCGUAGGCGGUUCGUCGCGUCCGGUGUGAAAGUCCAUCGCUUAACGGUGGAUCCGCGCCGGGUACGGGCGGGCUUGAGUGCGGUAGGGGAGACUGGAAUUCCCGGUGUAACGGUGGAAUGUGUAGAUAUCGAA
rnacentral:rRNA from 1 species